rfam:Ornithorhynchus anatinus chromosome X1, whole genome shotgun sequence.
CCCCUAUCAGGGUCACACCUGGAGAGUUUCCAGUACUCUAUCAGUCUCAACUAUGGGAGGGAGAAUGAAGCAGAGGCAUAGCCAUUCCAUUCCUAGUUUGGACAGUGUCUAGUGAAUGGAAGGCAAUCUGCUACAAGU